GACGAACGCUGGCGGCGUGCCUAAUACAUGCAAGUAGGACGCAGUUGCGAACGGGUGAGUAACGCGUAGGUAACUACCUAUUAGAGGGGGAUAACUAUUGGAAACGAUAGCUAAUACCGCAUACUAGUAGAUGGACCUGCGUUGUAUUAGCUAGUAGGGAGGGUAAUGGCCUACCUAGGCAAAGAUAAAUAGCCGACCUGGGAUGGUGACCGGCCACACUGGGACUGAGACGCGGCCCAGACUCCUACGGUAGUCAGCAGUAGGGAAUCUUCGGCCAUAGGGGGACCCCUGACCGAGCAACGCCGCGUGAGUGAAGAAGGUUUUCGGAUCGUAAAGCGCUGUUGUUAAGGAAGCGGUACUUACCCAGAAAGGGACGGCUAACUACGUGCCAGCCGCCGCGGUAAUUC
rnacentral:rRNA from 1 species